AAAAAAAUUAAAUUGUUUUUUAAAUUAAUUAGGCAUUUUAAAUUUGUAAUUGAAAAGAUAUUUUGGUAAACAAUAGUGAAUAGUACUGUGAAGGAAUUUUUAAGGUUUUUUUGAAAGUAAAAAAUUUUGUACCUUUUGUAUUAGGGUUUAGCUAAUAAAUUAAAAGUUUUUGAUAUCCCGAAAAAUCUUGAGCUAUAAAAAAUAGUUUUAAUCAUUUUAAAGAUUAAGAUAAUUUUUUUAUAGAAAUGAAAUUUUAUUCGUAAGAUUGUAUAUCUGGUUAAAUUUUGAAAAUUAGAUAUUUUUUUAUGAGUUGUGUUAUUGAAUAAAUUCAUAGGUUUUAUUUUCUGGGACAAGCUAGGAAAUUAUUUUUAUAUGAAUUUUAGGAUAUUAGUGAAGGUUUAAAAUUUACUUUUUUUGUAAUAAAAAAUUUUAUUUGUGAUUUUUAUAAAAAUUUUAUAUUUUUCAAAAAAUUUUUACUUGUAAGGAUUAAUGUUAUAAUUAGUAUAAUUAAAUAGCUUUAUUAAAGUUAAAUUUAUUGACGGGAAGUUUAAAAGUAAAAAAGAACUCGGCAAAUAGUUUUUUGGAAUGUUUAUCAAAAACAUUGUAUCUUGGGUUUAUAAGAUGUAGAACCUGCUCAAUGAUUGUAUUAAAUUGCUGUGGUAUUAUGACUAUACGAAGGUAUUGAAAUAAGACUUUAAUUGAGUGCUAAGAGAAUGGUUUAACAAAAAUAGGCUUUUUUUUUAUUUAAAAUUGAAGUUAAUUUAAAAACGAAAAAGUUUUUAUGAAAUUUUAGGACAAGAAGACCCUAUGAAUUUUUUUAAAAAGCUUUUUUUUCAGGCUUUUUUAAAAAAAUUUUAGAUAAGUUUUUAAUUAAUUGGGGCGAUUUUUAAAUUUUUAGAAACUUUAAAGAUGUGAUAUUGGACCCAAUAUUAUUGAUAUAUUAAAUAAAAUACUCUAGGGAUAACAGCGUUAUUACUUUGGAUAGUUCAUAUAGAUAAAGUAGAUUGCGACCUCGAUGUUGGAUUAGGAUACCUUUAUUAGUGAAGAAGUUAUAAAAGGAGGUUUGCUCAACCUUUAAAUUCCUACAUGAUCUGAGUUCAGACCGGCGUAACAGGUUGGUUUCUAUCUAAAUUAUGAUAUAAGUUUUUAUAGUACGAAAGGAAUGGAGAACUGAAAAUUUUUUGUUAAGGUUUAUUAGUUGCAAUGUUAGUU
rnacentral:rRNA from 1 species